UGGGGAAUAUUGCACAAUGGGGGAAACCCUGAUGCAGCGACGCCGCGUGAAGGAAGAAGUAUCUCGGUAUGUAAACUUCUAUCAGCAGGGAAGAUAGUGACGGUACCUGACUAAGAAGCCCCGGCUAACUACGUGCCAGCAGCCGCGGUAAUACGUAGGGGGCAAGCGUUAUCCGGAUUUACUGGGUGUAAAGGGAGCGUAGACGGUGUGGCAAGUCUGAUGUGAAAGGCAUGGGCUCAACCUGUGGACUGCAUUGGAAACUGUCAUACUUGAGUGCCGGAGGGGUAAGCGGAAUUCCUGGUGUAGCGGUGAAAUGCGUAGAUAUUAGGAGGAACACCAGUGGCGAAGGCGGCUUACUGGACGGUAACUGACGUUGAGGCUCGAAAGCGUGGGGAGCAAACAGG
rnacentral:rRNA from 1 species